rnacentral:rRNA from 1 species
UACGUAGGGGGCGAGCGUUGUCCGGAUUUAUUGGGCGUAAAGAGCGUGUAGGCGGCCAGGUAGGUCUGCUGUGAAAACUCGAGGCUCAACCUCGAGACGUCGGCGGAAACCAUCUGGCUAGAGUCCGGAAGAGGAGAGUGGAAUUCCUGGUGUAGCGGUGAAAUGCGCAGGUAUCAGGAAGAACACCCGUGGCGAAGGCGGCUCUCUGGGACGGUACUGACGCUGAGACGCGAAAGCGUGGGGAGCGAACAGG